AUGUGCAUGUGGUUAUCAUUCCUUGACGACUGGAAUGGUGGAGAAGUUCAGAAAACUAGAUCCGCUCUCAGAACAGUAUCCGGCCGCUACUCCACCUGUCCACCUGUACCUCACUUAGAACUAAUAGUACAAGACCUUCUUAAUACAGCAUUAGCACCCAGUACCAUCGUCGUGUACAAUACCGGCUUGUCAAUGUUCAAAAGAUUUUUGCUUUUAUUUAAUCUGUGGGGCCAUGUGGAGACACUCCCAAUGGUAAAUGAAAUUGUCCUCCUGUAUUUUGAAGCAUACUGUGCCAAUCAGAAAUUGAAAUACCAGACAAUUAAACUGUACUUAGCUGGAAUUCGCUACCAUUACAUUCGAUGUAAUAUUAGUACUCCGUUGACUCAGAUUGAUAAGCUCUAUAACAUACAGUAUGCCUUGAGAAGGGGUAAAAAGGUGGAGAACAAUUCCAGACCCAAAAAGCUUCCUAUUACUUUCGAUUUAUUAGUCAAAAUUUUUAAAGCUAUCCCCAUUAAGGUUAAUUUUUAUGAUGCGUCGAUGCUAUCUGCAGUCUGUUCUUUAGCUUACUUUGGAUUUUUGCGCUGUGGAGAAUUUACUAUUAAAUCAAAUGGUAAAUUUAACCCUAAGAAAAACUUAACAGUCUCUGAUGUCAUACUAAACAAAAAUGGAUUUGUUUUAAAUCUAAAAAUGUCAAAAACAGAAGUUUUCAGAUGAGGGUGGCAUAUAUAUAAAUAUUGUGGCGUAAUUGUCCAGAUAUUUGAAGAUAUUUAUUUAUGGUGGGUCACCCUACCAUUAUUCAUUAAUAGUAAAGGAAUGACUCUAAAUAGAGACUAUUUUAUUCAAAUUAAAGAAAUUAUUGAGUCUUUAGGUCUCCCGUCAGAUGGUUUUAACAGCCAUAGUUUCAGAAUAGGAGCAGCUACUACUGCUGCAAAGGUUAAUAUACCAGACCACUUGAUCAAAACUAUGGGACGUUGGUCAUCUGACUGUUACCAGAGAUAUAUCAGAACAGAUCUUAAGGCUGUUACUAUUGCCACCGCAUAAACCUUCAUUCCAUUUGGCAUCCUAUUAAGCUACUGCUUAAUUUUAUCCCCUCAAAAAAAAUGUGGUUCAGCAAUUUUAGACCAAAUUGGGUAAACACGAAUUUCUAAAUUAGUAACCAAGGCAACCAUGGCAUCCAAUUCUGUGAUUCUGUAUUUCGGUUCCUUUGGGAGCUGCCUUGGGUUCCUUCGGUUCCUUCGGGAACUGCCUUCGGUUCCUUCGGGAGCUGCCAUCGGUUCUUUCGAGAGCUGCCUUUUUACUCUUACCUGUCUCUAAUUCCGGUAGACCUAGAUCUACUGCCAAACCAUGGCUUGCCUGUCUCAUUGUGUAAUAUUAUGCUGAACAUGAGUGGACUCCUGUACUCCCA